rnacentral:rRNA from 1 species
GAUCCUGGCUCAGGACGAACGCUGGCGGCGUGCCUAACACAUGCAAGUCGAACGGAACUCAUUGGAACGAGAUUUCGGUCAAGUGAAGAUGACGUUUAGUGGCGGACGGGUGAGUAACGCGUGAGCAACCUGCCUUUCAGAGGGGGGACAACAGUUGGAAACGACUGCUAAUACCGCAUAAUAUGUAUUUAAGGCAUCUUAGAUACAUCAAAGAUUUAUCGCUGAGAGAUGGG